rnacentral:rRNA from 1 species
AUUUUGGGCAUGGGCGAAAGCCUGNCCCAGCAACGCCGCGUGAAGGAUGAAAUCCCUCGGGAUGUAAACUUCGCAAGAAUGGGAAGAAUUAGUAGGGGUUAAUACCCCCUAUGAUGACGGUACCAUUUGUAAGCUCCGGCUAACUCCGUGCCAGCAGCCGCGGUAAUACGGGGGGAGCAAGCGUUGUUCGGAUUUACUGGGCGUAAAGGGCGCGUAGGCGGCCAGCGCAAGUCAGUUGUGAAAUCUCCGGGCUUAACUCGGAAAGGUCAACNUGAUACUGCGCGGCUAGAGUGCGGAAGGGGCAACUGGAAUUCUCGGUGUAGCGGUGAAAUGCGUAGAUAUCGAGAGGAACACCUGCGGCGAAGGCGGGUUGCUGGGCCGACACUGACGCUGAGGCGCGAAAGCCAGGGGAGCGAACGGGAUUAGAUACCCCGGUAGUCCUGGCCUUAAACGAUGGAUGCUUGGUGUCUGGGGUUUUAUAGUCCCCGGGUGCCGCAGCUAACGCGUUAAGCAUCCCGCCUGGGGAGUACGGUCGCAAGACUGAAACUCAAAAAAAUUGACGGA